rnacentral:lncRNA from 1 species
UAGAAGUCUCUGACUAAGGACGGCGACAAGGCGGCUGUGGAGCUUCUUAUUUCCCGCGUUCAUUCUUCGGCAAGCACUAUCCUGGGCGGUGAUCGUGCCGGUCCGCAGCAGCCUAAAAAUGUGUGUGAUCAGCUCUCCAAUGGCUCCUGGAUCAGGGUCCUUGGGAAGAAAGGUUUCUCAAAAAAAGUUCUUCUCGAAGAAUUCGUCUCCCUCUAGAUCAGCCUGCAAAGCAUCCCUCCCCUGUCAGUUGGCCCUAGUUUUCGUUGAUAUUGGACGACGGAUGAAAAAUAUUCAUCCAAAUCAGCAUGCAUCGCUCAACUCAAAGGCUCCAUCCCAACGCAUGCCACUUCAAUGAUUUGGGAGGCAUAUAUACUGGAUCCAAUCGCUCAAAAUAAAAUCCUUACGGCGGACAACCUAGCCAUUUGAGGUUGGCCUCAUAACCAGUCAUGCUUGUUGUGCCACUACACUUUGAGACGGGUCAACAUAUUCACGUCACAUGCCCUUUCUUUCGUGCUAUUUGGAACCUGGUCCUUGGGCAUUGCAACUUCUACAUCACCGACAUCUCCACCCCAACCGACUUUCCCAACCUCGUCUCUUGGUGGCUUCAUGACUCUUCAGAGGCGUUUCUGAAAAGGAGGAGAACUCAACAUGAUCACCAUUUACAUUAUUUGGUAUAUUUGGAAAAAGCACGACAACUGUAAUUUUUAAGGGAUCUACAACUCAACAGCCGGAGUGUUGUCCCUCACUUAGGAAGAACUUUCGAAAAUUCGCCCUUCAACGGCUGUAGCACUGUAGUCCUCCUUGGCUUAGCCUCUAAAUCCAGAGAGGCUGCCUCCAUACACUACACACCUUAGCCUUCAAGUAAAAGUCUUUGGAGGUGCCUCUAAGCUUAGCGUUGUCUCCAACACUUUGGGCUGAUUAAAAUAUUCAGGUGCCCCCAGUUGUCAGCCAUAGUAAUAGGUGGGUUGGUUGUUAUAAAGACAUUGUAUUUUAUUCAAUUGUGGGUCUAACUUUGAAACUAUACUAGGGGCAGCAUACUGCAGAGUUUUCACCUGAGAGCAAGUAUAAUAAGAUGAUGUGGGCGGGUUGUAAGAUUUUAAAUACUAUACCUUUUGUUGAGUUGGAUGAGAGAGAAGAGAAGCGCGUUGUAGAUUUAUAGCCGGAUGUAGCACGGGCUCCAAGAAGUCGAGUGAGAGUGUAUGGUGGGCCAUGUGAUAAAAAAAUAGUAAUUUCUUGUAGCCCACUACUAUACAUGUUGGUUAUUACAUUGGUUUUAAAUGAUAUGACAACAUGUUAAGGCCAUCAGUAGGCUAUAUUAUUUACCAUGUUCUAAGCUUUGAGGAAGGUCGAUGCCUCUAAACACUGUGAUGCUCUUAAGCUUCCUUUGUCUUGGCUUUAUGCAAGCGGGUAAAGUCUGAAAUAAACCUUGAACUUGUACAGCUUGUCAAAAUCAAACCCUAAACUUCAAAUCCCUGAAAUUGGCACCAUAUACUUUCUAGUCCCGGUCAACACCUGAACACGUUUGGCACACCCAGAAAAGAUUGAUCCCGACCGGGAUCACAGACUACUCUCACUGACAUACCAGCCCCACAUGUCAUAUUCUUCUUUAUCUUCCUGUGACCCCAUUUUCUUUUUCUUCCCAUGCUAAUCUUCUUCAUGUCCCAGAAAAGAUUGAUCCCAACCGGGAUCACAGACUACUCUCACUGACAUACCAGCCCCACAUGUCAUAUUCUUCUUUAUCUUCCGGUGACCCCUUUUUUUUUCUUCCCAUGCUAAUCUUCUUCGUGUCCCUGAUCAAUCAAGCCAUGCUCACGUGCUAGUGCGUGAUUGUACAUGAAUCGAUAAAGUCGUCAUUGUACAUGAAUCUCCAACCGUCCCCCACGAGUCCCCUCAGGACAACUUUUUGGGCACCGGCGGAAAAAAAUGCCCCAGUCGUACUCUAGGGUAUUGUUUUGUGCCGGAUUUGUCUCAAAAAUCAUCCAGCGAUCCCACCCGAAACCCAGCCUACCGGGGGGGCGUCUGGGGGCGCCGGCGCUAUCUUUUGCAUGCGAAAACCCCACAAGUCAGUCUCUUUCCUCACUCUUUCUCCUCUUUUCCUCACACCCGCCGUGGAACAGUCCUUCCCAACGCGCCCAACCACGAAUGCCAGCACCUCCACGGCCGUGUACCGACGCCGGCAGCCACGUCGAAGAAGUCGGCCACGCGCGCGUCGGGGUCGCCAGCGCGCUGGCGCAGUUCGGCCUCGAGCCUGGCGAGCACGGCGUCGGCGAGCAGCGCGUCCCCCGCGCCUGCCCCGCAGCGCGUCUCCAGCCCGUGCAGCUCGACAGACUGCAUCCCUCCCGGAGGAGCACGCCAGCCCGUGCAGUUCUCCGCGACCUCCGUGCGCCGCAUGGCUGCACUGGCUGCAGUCUUCACGACCAUUCUCCGGCGCCGAGCUCGACUACAUCGCGUCGCUGGACCCUUUCAAGGACGCCGAGAUGCUCCGGGAAGAGUUGCCAUCCCUGAUGAUCCGCGAGUUCUCGUCGACGGAGCCCCGCGCCGCGGCCACAUCCUUCUCCUCCGGCGGGGCAGGGGCGACGCCCGUCACCAUCAACCACGCCUCCCGCAAGUGAGCUGAGAUGGACUAGGAAUUAGUAGUAAAUUUUCGUUUUUCAAUUUCAGAGGGCAGGCUUCAGCCUGUUAAAGCAUGCCCAGUAGAAUCGCCACUGGUUCUGACUACACGUAUAAAUUCAAGGUUUAAAAUAGACUUUAGUCCAUGCAUAAACUCUCCUUUCCUCUGAUACUUUUCAUGGAAGAAAAAAAAGGCAGUAUCCUGCCAAGCAUCAUCCGUGGGUGUUUAUUGGCUUCCAUGGUGAGAGUAAGUCAACUCAGUGUCUCCUAAAGCUUCACAUGACAUAACUUAGGAUAAAUGAUGAUAUAAUCAUUCCACGAUAAAUAAAAUUAAGAGUUGCGCUACUCAAUUAAAAAAUGAUAAUAAAACCAUUUGAAUAUGUUGGCCAAAAGGACCAUGCUAAUAUGCAUCUUGUGGCUUUUCCUAAUUAUAUAGAGUUCAUCGUUUGGUCCCAGUUAGUCAAUCAAUAAACCCCGAACAAUAACUUACCGCAGCACAAUGUCCAUUAGCUCUUGCACAUCCCUUUGCCUGGUGGACUUCAAACUCUGAGUCAUGGUCAGCCUAGCAACCAUAACGAGUCUUCUUUUGAUCACAGGGUAUCAACAAACUUUUUUAGGAAACCUUGUCAUGAGGGAAGGGUCCUCCUGCGAUUUCAUAAAGAAUAGAGAUAGCCCAAUUUAUAAGGAAAAUUAGGCCAAAAAUUAGGCAAACACGAUUUAUUAAGAGACAAUCAUGUAAAAAAACCACAAAGAGAGGAAAAGGAAACUAGAACAACAAUGCCGACAUUGUCGAAGCAUGACCUCCACCGCCAACAUGCCCUCAACCUGAAGAGAAGCCUGUGGGUUCUCCGGAGAUGCCCUCAAGAAGGAAACGAUACCCAUGGGCACCGUUGCCAUUGAAAUCAUCCCUUGUCAAAGUCUUAAACAUUUUUGCCUGGAGCCACCGAAAACCUCCACCCCCUCGCCUAACCUUGAGAAAAGGUCAUCCAUGAUAUAAACCACCAUGACAAGUCUAAGAACCGACCAACCUUGUUCUAGUGGAGAGGAGGAACCCUUCAACAACUGCUCGAAAAGAGAGAGCACCAACGUGUCAUUAUCGCUAGUACCCAUCGAGCCCAUUGAGAACAAUGUUUUUGUCCAGGGCCCUACGCCCCUCUACUUGCUCGAGUCCAGGGAAGGGGACUAGCCGUUGCCCGCACCGCACCUGCAAUAGCAGACCGCCCACGCCGCACACAUCGCCCCUCGAGGCGCCGAAUGGUCCACCAGUUGCUACCGCGGGAUUCCCUCACCGCCAGAGGCUAGACAAGAGGAGCAAGUCCCGUUGUCAUCAGCUCCGCCCGGGUUUCACCCGGUUGAGUGACGGCGAGCGAAGAGGCGAGGUAGAGGGGCGGGGAGGGAGGACAGAGCCGCCGCCACCCGUGUCGUCUAGGGAAGGGAGUGACGCCGACAUUUAAGAUCCAAGGUAUCAAAUCACAAAUACACAUUCCCCCAAAAAAUUAACAUAAGCAAUCCCCAAAAAUACAGGGGGUGUUUGGUUUCAGGGACUUUUUUAGGUUGGGACUAAAAAAAGUCCCUAAAAGUCUCUAGCAAACCAAACAAGGGGAACUUUUUUAGAACAUUUUACUAAAAAUCCUUAAAAGCACCUCCUUAAACGUCUUAUUCAAAAAGUCCUAGGACUGGAAAAAAGUCCUGUGACUAGAAAACCAAACACCACCACAAUCACACAACACACGCACGCCCCUCCCACUCUCGGAAUCCCCCCCCACUUUCACCUGUUCCUCCCACAGCCAGCUCCAUCCCUUCCCUCCCACACGAGCGAGACGCGAGACAUGGCUAGGGUUUUCGUCAGCGCUGCCGCCCUCGCCGUCGCCGCCGGCCGCGCCGUCGCCCGCACGGCCUCUCGAGCGGGCAAAGGGCCUCUUCUCAUGGGCGGCGGCAUCAUCACUGCCUACGUGUACCGCGAGCACCUCCGCCGCCUGGCCCGCCGUCUCUUCGCCUCUACUCGCGGGCCACAUGGAGCUUGGUGGUGAGUCGUCCUUCGAUUUCUGUCCUUCUGGUUCGGUUGCGAUAGCUUCUGCUGACACGGAUCUACAGGACCAAGGCGAGCCGCGCGGACAACAAGGGGGCGCGGAAGGUCCAGCAGGCGGCGCACCGCCGCUUCUACACAAAGAAGUUCGGGCCGGCCCCCCGCUGAAUAUCAGGUUCGAUUUGUUUCCCGAUCGUGUGUUCCGGGCUGGUGCGGCUUGGGGUCUAGACGUGAUCAAUUGAUUGAGUGGGUAUGGAUGUUGGAGGUGAUUUGCACGUGCGUGUGGUUUAGAUUCGAGACAGCAACGUUUUAGGACUUUUGCCAAAUUCGGCUGUAGUCAAACCAAUAAGGAAUGAAUUCUGGUCGGCCUGCCCACUGCAAUAGGCAACAGCUUACCAACCUUCCUAUAUGUCAAUCUCACACCUUUUUUUAACCCAAAAUGGAUUUUGUGAAAUGUGUAGUCAAGUAUGCAAUUCAAUCGACCGGUACAUUAGAUUUUAGAUUUUCGUGAUUUGGUCGUAUAGUGCAUAAAGCCUUGACAAGAGAUGGUGUAUUGCUGUGCAUCUCUGCUUGCUUUCACUUGAAACUGCAGGAUUUUGUGUGGGCAGCAUGGUGUUGUUCUGCCUACUGUUGCUGAGAGCGGUCCUGCAUAAUUGAUAUCAUGGAGGAUGGGACAUGUCUUGCUUUAAGAUGUUCUGAUGCAGUGCAAAACCUGCCCUCCAUGUACAACUUAAUGUGUUACCUUUUCUUGAGUACAAGCUCUACUGUUUACAUAAUGCAUUCUUGUAUUUAGGAACGGAGAGAGUAUGAAUACAUGUUUUCACAAUUUUCUCAAACUUGGGUAUGGAUUUAUCUAAAGUUUCAGUUAUGGGCUAUAUUUGACAUGAGAUCAGAGCUUGCAUUCUUCUUUGUCGUGACAGCAAGCGUACAGUUUUGAGAUCUUGACUGUACAAUAGUGAUACGAAGUAGGAUAUUUUCUGUUCACCAGGUGGCCUGUGGUGGCUGAUGGUGGUGAUAAAGAUGGUUUGUGAAUCUAUUAGUACUGUCGAAUCUUCUUGUUUGAGACGGCUUGUAGUCAAAUCCUGCUUUUGAGUUACGGUGCAAUCAGAUGCAGCGUAAUUGGGUAGCGGGCCAGUGUAAUUUCGUUUGCUUGUGCUGGGCCUGGGCGUGACGCUCCUGGCCUGGAGCCUCCUUUGGUCUGCAAUAUCUUCUCUGUUCCUUUUCCUAGACCAGUAAAUGCAUCUUCUGAAAGUGGGUGGCAUCAAGCUUCUAGUCACUAUUUGCUUCGCUAACCUUGCCAUUCAACUCCGGUCGAUCACAACUCCCUGUCAUGCUCAAACUAUUACUGUGAUUGGUCAUGUUCAUGGAUAUGGUGUCAUAUAAUCACGCAUAUCUAAUAGGCUCAGUCCUAGUACUAACUACUAAGUAUAUAUGGUGUCAUAUAGUCACGCAUGUCUUAGACGACCUGUGAGCGCUUCCUCAAAUAUCUGUGGUGGGGUUAUUAAAUAGCUGUUCUUCAAAUAUCUGUGGUGGGGUUAUUAAAUAUUUCCAGUUAGUCUCGCUCAUGUUUAUUUUUCUGACAGUCGACUCAUUAAAUUCUUUGGUCCAUAUCCAACCGGUGAGACCCAUCAAAAUCAAUACGACAGUAAAUUCUUUAACAACUGUGAAGGCUGCACCAGCAAAUGAGAUCAAGUCUUUAGACCGUGAAUUCUCUGUUGGUCGGUCUGCCUGUAAAUACACCAGACCUGAAAGAUUUAGUGGGGAAAUCUAUGAGAUCAGGUUAAGUUACCAUUACAUCUAAAAAAUGAACAUGUAAAUACAACAGAUAAUUUUUUUUAAUUCAGUCUCACCGACAUAAAAACAACUUCAAUAAUUAACUAACCUGUGAAUCCAUCCAUUGGUCUCUCUGAAGUCUCUCUGAAAUCUGAACCAUUAGCCUUCAUCAUUGCAAUCAGUUGAAGGGUUCCUCCCUUUUGUUUGCUGUAUCUUGUUGCAUCAUACAAUUUGAUACUUCUUCUAUUUCUGAACAUACUUGUGAUAUUUGGUGAAAAGCAGCUACAUGUGAUAUUUGGUGAAAAGACAAGCCAGUGAUGAAUCAACCUAAUCUGUAUUUGUACCAAGUUUUAAAUUGAUGUGAAUCUUUUUCUAUAUGAAUAAGGCCUCCUUUGGUUCAUAGGAUAGGAAUAUUAUAGGAAUUAACCAUAGGAAGUGAGAUGACAUGUAUCUCAAUUCCUAUAGGGAAAGAGAUGUCACUUGAUCCAUAGGAUAGGAACUUUUCCAUUACAUCUAGGCUAUUUUUUUUCUUUGAAAUGUGAUGGAUUGGUUCCUAUCCUACAUAGGAAUAUGAAUUCAUUAGUACAAGCCAAAGAGCUCCAAAAUUAUUUUUCCUACAAAAUUCCUCUAAACUAAAUGUUUUCACAAUUUUUCUCAAACUUUGGUAAGGAUUGUUUGUGACGUUUCAUUUAUGGGCUAUAUUUUGCAUUCUUGUGAUGGCAUCAAGAUCUAUGUAUGAUAUUUGCUGAGUUGGAGAAAAAAAGAAGAGAGAACGCUUCUCAAUGUGCGACACAGAAUGUACUGUACUUGCCGCAUACGUUUCUGGUUUACAUAUGUUGCAGAUGAACUUGAUCUCAGUCCCUAAACAUUUGCAUAUGUUUCUGAUUUGUGCAAUGUACAAUACAAAGUUACUGAACAACUCGACGCUGUAAAUUCUUUGCUAUGUUUUUCUCCUCUGUUCAUUGUCCAAAGUUACUGAACAACUUGUUCUUAUAAAUUCUCUGCAGGCUACCGGAGAAGGGCAUAUGCAAAUGGACAUAGUAGCGGACAAAUGGGUGGUUACAAGUUGAGAUAAAUUUUGGGUUAAAAAACUUGUGGGUUUACUCGAAUCCCUGCUAUCAUCUGAUUAUCACUGAAUCUGAGACUUACGCCGUCGUCUAUUGCUGUUGAAUCAGUGGACAAAUGUGGUGACUUUGAUGACGCUGGGAUGGAAAUUUUUGCAAUAGUAAUCGAAUUAUGCCGUCAUCUAUUGCUGUUGAAAUAUGCUGUCAAAAGUUGUUUGGAUGUCAUUUGGCAUUGACCUCUUUUUUGAGCUAGGGUAUAAUCAGUUGCAGUGUGAUUGGGCAGUGGGCUAGUGCUAUUUGGUUUGCGUUUGCUGGGCGUGACAGCUCCUGGCCUAGAGCCUCGUGAUGCAUACAGGACCGUGUUCGGUUACCCUCCAGUGGUAGCCCGGCCAGGACCUGUCACGGCAAGUGAUUGGCUUGGAGGCGCUAGGUCCUAAGGUCCUGUACAAUGCAAGGUGCUUGGAGUAGGUGCUUAGAGAAAUAAAUCAGUUUUUCUUUAAGCAUCAGUGCUUAUUUGUAGAGGGUAGACGCUUAAUUAAGCAUUUGUUCUGUAGAAUAAGCAUCUGUGUUUAAAAAAAGUUGGUUUAUUUUACUAAGCAUCUCUCAUUGUACAAGGCCUAAUUCGGCUUAGCUAGCAGCGACAUCACAGUUGGCGUACUUGCUAGUUGAGCAGCUAUGUCACCCUUCCUGACAUGGGACAAUUGUUUGAUGGAGAUCUUCCCCCGACGGAUAUGGUAACCGUCACAGAGUUAAAGAAGACGACGCCGGUCAAAAUUAACACUAGAUCAUAGAUUUGAUCCGCAUCAAACUGAGAAACGUUGUCAGGUAGUUCAAAAACAGAGAGAGAACGUCGUCGUCAUGCCAUAUAAGACCCAAUAAUAAAAGGGGAAUUUUUGUUUAUGCCACUCUUAACUUCCAACCAUUUUGCAUCAUAAUUACCACUGUAGUUUAGCUGGAAGUAAGUUGCCUGAAAAUUGAAUUUGGCUAUGGCGGCCGAUGCAAGAGACUGCACAGGAGAACCACCGACAAACAAUCUAACGACGAACGACCAAGUCGACAUAUGGCUCACGAUCGCCAUAAUUUAUGGAGGGCACUCGAUAACCGACCGUGUUGCCUUCAAAUAUUGAGGCUGGGAGGGCCAAUACGACACUUGCUCCAACCAAAACAACUAGCACGGUAGGUAAGUUUCAAGUUCUUCCUCCCGGCGUCCCACAUGGGAUUUGAAGUAGCCCAACCUUCCAAGCACCACCGGCGACGGGCAUCCAACCAGUAAUGCCACUCCAUCGGGUUGCCAUGGCCGGCCCGUUGCAUGGCCGCCACGCGCGACAUCAUCUCAUGGCUUGCGUAUGAGCUGGUUGAGAGGAGUUGUGCGAGCAACCGUGAUAGUCUGAGCAGUCGAGAAGCGCACGAGCAGCCCACGUCAACAUUUCUCACUGGGGAACAUGCCCUUUGACUGCUCGUCGUUUCCAGCCUACCCAAGUGCCUCCUUAAUGGCACUCAUAGCGGUGUAUAAGGACACCGCCCUCCCCUAUCUUGCUCCGAUUCUCUUUGUGGCACCGCCCAUUCUCAUCUCGUCUGCUUCCAACCCCCGAACAUCGUCUUCGAUGGCACAUCCGGAGAGUUGCCCCUCGUCUUUAGUUUUCGGGAUGAGGAAGAGGAAGGCAGCACAUGAACCCUCUAUCCCCCCUUUGGGAGCAGAUGGACCUUUCCUGGAGGAGGUUCCGCAAAUGGACGCACAAAUAGAGCUAGAUUUGGGUCCCGUGCCUGCAGUUGCAGACGAAAGGCCGGCCUGGGCCACCACCGCCAAGGUGCAUUUCCAAGCCAUCAAGGUCCAUUCCCGCAUUCUACGUAGGUGGUGAGGGUGGCAGUGGUCAUGGAGGUGGUCAUGGCCGCAACUAGGCAGUCCAUUUAAGAGUGGCACAAAUUGAAUGGUCAGAAUGUAGAUUUUCCAUAGUAAAAAGGAAGACCGGGUAUGAAAUGGAAAUCAAACAAAAAAGAUUGCUCCACGGAGCAUGUCAACUAUGUGUUCGCCAUAUAGCAUGAUAUUUAGAGUUGAUCACUUUCAAAUGCAUGGCUAGAUGAGAGCAGAUCUCGACAGAGCUGGAGUAACUUCUAUGACUUAAGGAAUACAAGUAAUUGAACUACCAAAUAACCAGGUGGGAAAUUGUACAGUGUGAUCAUAGCAUGUGUACCUUUUUGUCGGCACUUCUCCAUGUACAAAUUGACGCGGGGCUACUCGGCAAAAUUUUUCAUCUUUAUAGAUCCAUCACAAAUAUUGGGUGACCGACGGGCCAAUGAGGAGCUCUACCGCUGCACAAAAGCUCAACAUGCCAACGAACGGAAGCGAAGCUACACCCCAUCCUUUAUUUACCUUCAAAGGGAUAACAAAUGAGGACAAAGAGAGAGAACAAACCUAGAUGAACUAGAAUUCUAUUAAUCGGUUCCCCUUAAUCGCUAGUUGGAUACGUUCCUAAUUUGAUAAGAUUGUCAUGACUGUUUAGUGGACCAACCUUUCGAAAUAAAAGGGAUGGAGGAAAGACGAAAGGAUAACAUGACAAGGCACACAUAAUACAUUUUCAGGUUAAUAACUCAUUGACAGAGAUAAAAUGCACGCAACAAUGCUUAUCGCGCUGAGGUCAUAUGAACUCGCUGUGGCUACACCAAUGAUUUCUUUCAUACCUACAAACCCACUACAUAUACAUUAAUAAUUAGAAUUCCAACUCCUAAGUAUCCUGAAUGAGAAAUUUCCCGUUUAAGAUUAUUGAUCCAUUGUGCCUGGUUUGGCACCUUUUUUUCAGGAAUAUGUAAAGCUUUUGUAUCAUUUCAUUGAUUUUUCUUUUGUGGGUAUAUCAUUCCAUUGAUAUGGGAAGAAGUUCAGCAGUUUACAUGAUGUAACUCGACUUUCUAAUUUUUACCCACCUGCGCGGUCCUCACAAAUGGUGCUCGCAUGCAUGUCAGUUCUGGUUCGUGAUUAGGUGCCAUGGUGCAAAGGUACCUUGUUUGGUGCUACGUGAUAUGUGACCUGGAGCAACACAACUUCGUUUGCCCGAACAAGCUAGCAACCGAGCCACCAAUGAGCUGCCGUGAUUUCUCCGGCAAUUGCCACCGGCCACGCUGCUCUAAUCCACAUAUAAGGGUCUAGUAAGAAUACCAUUUCUCAGUGGCGCAUAACCGACGGUGCUGCAACUGCAAGUGCACCACACCGGCUACCGAUGCUACGACCAGUGAUGCGACAUGCUGCAAGUCAGAGCUGCCAGUGCUGCAAGUGUACCAUGUCGUCCAUCGAUGCUGCGAUGGUUAUGCAACACACUGCAAGGGCCGAGCAGGGAGAUGCCACCGAUGGUGCAACAGAGAAACGUGGUGAUGCAAGUGGAAUGCGCCGAUGCUAAGCUUCUAGAGCAUGAUGAGUGCUGCUGCGAGAAGAUGGUUGGUGCUGCUGCAAGGUACGGCAUCGGUGUGAGCCAAGCUAGCGGGGGUGUGCAGAUGUUGCGAGCGGGAGAAGCAGUCCUGCCAGUGUGGUGAGAGAGGACGACACAGAGCAGGAGGUGCGGGCGAGAAGGCACAAGGGGUCAGCGUCUCCCAAAAAACAUAUACCGGAUGUUUUUGUCUCGACAAACAACAUAUCAUGCAUACUAUAACUAUUUUUGUCUACACACCAUGAACCGGGGUACGAAUUUACAACUGGGGCUCUAGCGCCCCAGGAAAGAGUCUGACUGUAUGGUGCACAUCCCCGUUUUGAAAAAAGAAACAUGUUUCUGGAACAGCUCACAGUUACAAUAUGUAUUUAUCACUGCACCAAAAUUAAUAUAUAAAUUAUACUUAUACUUAUAUAUAUGUAGAUUGGAAGAAGGCAAGUAUAGUGUUGGAGCGAAAAUGAGCGGAAUGAAUAACACAACAACAACAAAAAAGAACUAUUCACAGCUAGAUUUGCUUUCAUUUAUCUGAUUAGAUAUGGGAUUAAACUUCUAUAACAUUACAGGUUCAUGUUGUAUCGAAGUCAGCAAAUUCUGUCCAGUUUUUUAAAACUUGUGUUGUAUUGGUGCACCAGGGUUGGGUGGCUUGGAAUCGACGCAGACAAGCAUGUAGAGAUAACCAACAAACAGUUAAACACCAUGGCGACAGAUUAAAAUCGAACAAACUAGCAAGCAAAAUCUACAAUCGGACAAGAAUACAGCCAGGAACACGUGAACAAGCCGUGUUUAUGCGUGACUAUGAAAUGGAGUAGCCUGUUCAUAAGAAACAGAGCGGAGGAAAUCUCUGAGAAUCGCCACAUAAAACAGAGGCAGUAGUGACAAACCUUUAUUUAUGCACCAAAAAGGGAACGACUGAUCCUCGAGCAAUUGCCGCGCCCCCUCCCGGGCCGAGAGAGAUCUGCAGGAUUGAAAGAGGAAUUAGGAACAGAAAGAACGUGAAGAUUAGCACGUCGUAACCAUGCAAACACUUCCGGUGAGAAGUGGAUCUGCCCGAGGGAAGAUUACAGGGCAUCACAGCGGAUUCAUCACGGCGGGGUCGUGGCUCCUACCUGCUUGAGAAGAUCACGCGGAAAUAGUCUAGGGUUCGUUCGUUCAUGAGAUCCGCAUAGGACCUGGAUGGAGCGAGAGGCAGAAGAUAAGGGAAGGGGGGAAAGAGAAACGAGGCAUUAAAAAACUGCCUGUACGUGAGCAGAACACGGCUCCAGCCGAAACCAGCGGCUGCAGAUGGGUCCGGCCCCUUCGCUGGCUCAUGUUGUCAGUGGCCACAGGGUACGUGCGUCGGUUGGUUCGUCUCGAGGCUUCGUUCCGACCGAGGAGCGAUCUGAGAUCUGACCCCGGAU